rnacentral:rRNA from 1 species
AUUGAACGCUGGCGGCAGGCCUAACACAUGCAAGUCGAACGAGUGGCGGACGGGUGAGUAAUGUCUGGGAAACUGCCUGAUGGAGGGGGAUAACUUCUGGAAACGGUAGCUAAUACCGCAUACCAUCAGAUGGGCCCAGAUGGGAUUCGCUUGGUGGUGGGGUAAUGGGUCACCAAGGCGACGAUCCCUAGCUGGUCUGAGAGGAUGACCAGCCACCAUGGGACGGAGACACGGUCCAGACUCCUACGGGAGGCAGCAGUGGGGAAUAUGGCGCAAUGGGCGCAAGCCUGAUGCCGCCAUGCCGCGUGUAUGAAGAAGGCCUUCGGGUUGUAAAGUACUUUCAGCGGGGAGGCGUUACUCGCAGAAGAAGCACCGGCUAACUCCGUGCCAGCAGCCGCGGUAAUAC